CAUGUCUAAGUAUAAGCAAUCAUACUGUGAAACUGCGAAUGGCUCAUUAUAUCAGUUAUCGUUUAUUUGAUAGUACCUUACUACAUGGAUAACCGUGGUAAUUCUAGAGCUAAUACAUGCUAAAAACCUCGACUUCGGAAGGGGUGUAUUUAUUAGAUAAAAAACCAAUGCCCUCUGGGCUUCUUGGUGAUUCAUAAUAACUUUACGAAUCGCAUGGCCUUGCGCCGGCGAUGGUUCAUUCAAAUUUCUGCCCUAUCAACUUUCGAUGGUAGGAUAGUGGCCUACCAUGGUUUCCACGGGUAACGGGGAAUUAGGGUUCUAUUCCGGAGAGGGAGCCUGAGAAACGGCUACCACAUCCAAGGAAGGCAGCAGGCGCGCAAAUUACCCAAUCCCGACACGGGGAGGUAGUGACAAUAAAUACUGAUGCAGGGCUCUUUUGGGUCUUGCAAUUGGAAUGAGUACAGUCUAAAUCCCUUAACGAGGAACAAUUGGAGGGCAAGUCUGGUGCCAGCAGCCGCGGUAAUUCCAGCUCCAAUAGCGUAUAUUAAAGUUGUUGCAGUUAAAAAGCUCGUAGUUGAACCUUGGGCCUGGCUGGUCGGUCCGCCUCACCGCGUGUACUGAUCCGGCCGGGCCUUUCCUCCUGGGGAAUCGCAUGCCCUUCACUGGGUGUGUCGGGGAACCAGGACUUUUACUUUGAAAAAAUUAGAGUGUUCAAAGCAGGCCUUUGCUCGAAUACAUUAGCAUGGAAUAAUAGAAUAGGACGUGUGGUUCUAUUUUGUUGGUUUCUAGGACCGCCGUAAUGAUUAAUAGGGAUAGUCGGGGGCAUCAGUAUUCAAUUGUCAGAGGUGAAAUUCUUGGAUUUAUUGAAGACUAACUACUGCGAAAGCAUUUGCCAAGGAUGUUUUCAUUAAUCAGUGAACGAAAGUUAGGGGAUCGAAGACGAUCAGAUACCGUCGUAGUCUUAACCAUAAACUAUGCCGACUAGGGAUCGGGCGAUGUUAUCUUUUGACUCGCUCGGCACCUUACGAGAAAUCAAAGUCUUUGGGU
rnacentral:rRNA from 1 species